rnacentral:rRNA from 1 species
GGAUUAGAUACCCUGGUAGUCCACGCCGUAAACGAUGAGUGCUCGACGUUGGGGGUUUACCUUCAGUGUUGAAGCUAACGCAUUAAGCACUCCGCCUGGGGAGUACGGUCGCAAGAUUAAAACUCAAAUGAAUUGACGGGGGCCCGCACAAGCGGUGGAGCAUGUUGUUUAAUUCGAUGCAACGCGAAGAACCUUACCACCCCUUGACAUACUCGGAACUUUCUAGAGAUAGAUUGGUGCCUUCGGGAGCCGAGAUACAGGUGCUGCAUGGCUGUCGUCAGCUCGUGCCG